AGGAGCGGCAUAUCUCAGCUCAGAAGCAGACGGAGGAGCUGCAGCUGAAGGCGCCAGCUUGAGCAAACAUAUGGAAGUGGGAAGCACAGAGCAUGUGAAGGAAACUGUUUAUUACAGUUGGGAUAAAAUAAAAGGUAAGUGUUGGAAUGAAAGAAUGAUUUCCAAUGCUGGCCUAAGGAUUUUAUGGUGGCGGUGGGUAAAAAGGACAUGUUCAGAAUGGUGUCUUGGAAGAUUAAUUCACCAGUACCAUCUUAGAAGCCAAGGAAGAGAGACUUUCAGGAAGAAGGCACAGUCCUCAUCUCCAAAUGCUGUUGAUAUUGAGAAAUAUAAAAAUACUAAUUAGAAGGCAUCCUCUCUACCAGUUUCAUUAGUGGAGAUUAUAGGGUAGACAGACAGGACAAGGGCAGAAUCAAUUCAAGAGAUAGAACAGUACUCAGGAUGCACCUCCCAUUGAGGAAGUUAUGUAUAAAAAGAGACAAGAGAUAGGUCCCUGAGUUCCCAUCAGAGGUAUUGCUUUUACUGUUGUUGCUGCUGAUAUUUUUAAAAACAGGUAGAC
rnacentral:lncRNA from 1 species